CAAUAGCGUAUAUUAAAGUUGUUGCGGUUAAAAAGCUCGUAGUUGGAUUUCUGCCGAGGACGACCGGUCCGCCCUCUGGGUGUGUAUCUGGUUUGGCCUGGGCAUCUUCUUGGAGAACGUAGCUGCACUUGACUGUGUGGUGCGGUGUCCAGGACUUUUACUUUGAGGAAAUUAGAGUGUUUCAAGCAGGCACACGCCUUGAAUACAUUAGCAUGGAAUAAUAAGAUAGGACCUCGGUUCUAUUUUGUUGGUUUCUAGAGCUGAGGUAAUGAUUAAUAGGGAUAGUUGGGGGCAUUCGUAUUUAACUGUCAGAGGUGAAAUUCUUGGAUUUGUUAAAGACAGACUACUGCGAAAGCAUUUGCCAAGGAUGUUUUCAUUG
rnacentral:rRNA from 1 species